CCAUGCCUGGCUGAAAAUUGUUUUUUUUUUUUUUUUAUUGUGACUAUGUUUUCUUCCAUGAUAACUCAUGCUGGAUCAUGGAAGGAGUAGAAGUGCUCAGCUAGCUACUGUAGACUCCCCUGAUAAGCAACAACUUAGACUCGUGAAGGCCCCAGGGUGCAGGAGGAAGCACAGACUUGUGGAGCAUGCUGUGACAUCAUGGAGGGUCACCAGCAGUGACUGACUCACUUUCUGGAGCUGGAGCGUGGGUUCUGAGCGAGUCGCUGAGGCUCGGUGCAUUUUGGUGUAGUGAAGUUGUGAUGGUGUUCAGCUGCACUCUGGGUGCCGUGAGGAUGGGUAGCUGUGAGCCAGGCCAAGCUGCUCCUGGGCGAGCGUGGUCUGCAGACAAGCAAGGCCCUGGCCCCCUUCUGGAUGAAGUGGAAGUCAGAACACAGGGCCUGUCCUCGUGGCUCCUUCUCUACCUGCCACGUCCUACCUUCUUUCUGGAGCCCCAUUUGGACCCGUCCUUCCCAUCUGAAACCUGCCUGUGCUCUGGCUGUCCCGGAAGGCUCUGCGUGACUAACGUGAAUCAGGAGGAAACUGGAGCAUGGGACAUUAAAUAACAGUCCAAGUUCACCCAGUGAGUGGCAGAAGAGGCAGAAGUAACUUCAGGUCUAUUUGAUAACAGAGCCAAGCCUUGACCUGGCCACAGAUGACCUUGUGGCCCUGUGUGGGCAUGAGGACGACUGUGCAGGAAAGGAGACCCAGAGCCAGUGAGCCAUCUGCCAUUUCUUUGCUUUCUGCACGUCCUGAUGCAGGUGUGAGUUGCCCCCUGACUGUGUGGAUCUUACAUGUUGGUUUAAUAAAGGGACAUCUGUGUUUGAUUGAUAAA